ensembl:lncRNA
UGCAUGCAGUACUCGAUAAUAAGCCGUUGCAUAACCUUCCAAAGAUAACCAGAAAUAGUUAUAACAAGAGCUGUGAUUCAUUUUUAGUGACACAAUACAUUUUGUUUGCACUCUGAACCUGAGUCUUACACAUUGUACAAUGAAAAAAAAAAUCUUGGUACUACAUUAUUCAAUGGAAAAUCUCCUCUCUCAUAGGAAUGCUUAAACUUUUGAAUUGUGCACUCUUAUUUCAUUUAAAAUGUUUCAAGCCUUUUAGAAGUACAGUACAAGAAUUACAUCAGAAAAGAGCUUAAAAACCAGAAAACUAAAUUUCCUGUAUAUUUCAAACAAACAACAAACACAUUCAUAAUUAACUGCUCUUAAGUGUCAUAGACCCAUUUUAUUAAGUGUCUUUAACUACUAUGUAAUAAUAUGAAUCAUUAAGGAAUUGUGUCCUUAACCCAGUAGCAGCGACAGUGUUUUGCAAUACAAUAUGAAUGCAAUACGUCCCAAACAAUAAUUUCUUCGACAUAAGCAAAUAGUAGAUAAAAACACCUUAUAUAAAGUGAUACCAAAGACACAUCAAAAAGCAAAAAUGCAUUUAUCUGUUUUAUUUUUCUGCUAAGUAGACUCUUCAUGUCCAUGUUGGUGAUCGAGACUAAGUGGAAGAAAACAGUCAGGAAAAAGUAAUAAUCAUUUUCAGCUGAAACCCUUCCUGCAGAAGAUCCCAGUGUUGUUGUUUUCUCACUCAGACACACACAGCCGAGUCCUGCAAUCUCAAUCAUUCUAAAUGUACUCAUAAAUUGACAAGUUUCCUCCUCACAGGAUGUGUUUCUUGUUGUACACAGUGUUUACUAUAUAUGCAAUUAACCCAAUUAUUGUGCCUUGAUAUUUUAACGACAGUACAUCCUGGUGACUGUCAACUCGCUGACACACACACAAACACACACACACAAACACAUACUUAAAAUGUCAAGGUGCAGUUUAUUUGGAUAUUUUCCCCCGUUGAAAAUGGUGCAGUUAAGCAAUGCUAGGUAAAUAAUCGUCAAU